CGGUGAUCGCGGGGCCGGUGCCGCCGGUCGGCGGGAUUCCGGCGUGGCGGCGCGACCGUAUGCUGCCGGGGUGGAUCUGGACGCCUUCGUCACCGA
rnacentral:tRNA from 1 species